GACGAACGCUGGCGGCGUGCUUAACACAUGCAAGUCGAACGAUGAAGCGGCCAGCUUGCUGGUGGUGGAUUAGUGGCGAACGGGUGAGUAACACGUGGGUAACCUGCCUAUCAGAGGGGGAUAACACUUGGAAACAGGUGCUAAUACCGCAUAACAAUAUCAAUCGCAUGAUAGAUAUUUGAAAGGCGCUUAUGGUGUCACUGAUAGAUGGACCCGCGGUGCAUUAGCUAGUCGGUGGGGUAACGGCCUACCGAGGCGAUGAUGCAUAGCCGACCUGAGAGGGUGAUCGGCCACAUUGGGACUGAGACACGGCCCAAACUCCUACGGGAGGCAGCAGUAGGGAAUCUUCGGCAAUGGACGCAAGUCUGACCGAGCAACGCCGCGUGAGUGAAGAAGGUUUUCGGAUCGUAAAGCUCUGUUGUUAGAGAAGAACAAGUAAGAUAGUAACUGAUCUUGCCUUGACGGUAUCUAACCAGAAAGCCACGGCUAACUACGUGCCAGCCGCCGCAGUAACAC
rnacentral:rRNA from 1 species